rnacentral:rRNA from 1 species
GAUGAACGCUGGCGGCGUGCCUAAUACAUGCAAGUAGAACGCUGAAGGAGGAGCUUGCUCUUCUGGAUGAGUUGCGAACGGGUGAGUAACGCGUAGGUAACCUGCCUGGUAGCGGGGGAUAACUAUUGGAAACGAUAGCUAAUACCGCAUGACAACAGUUAUUGCAUGAUAACUGUUUAAAAGGGGCAACUGCUCCACUACCAGAUGGACCUGCGUUGUAUUAGCUGGUUGGUGAGGUAACGGCUCACCAAGGCGACGAUACAUAGCCGACCUGAGAGGGUGAUCGGCCACACUGGGACUGAGACACGGCCCAGACUCCUACGGGAGGCAGCAGUAGGGAAUCUUCGGCAAUGGACGGAAGUCUGACCGAGCAACGCCGCGUGAGUGAAGAAGGUUUUCGGAUCGUAAAGCUCUGUUGUAAGAGAAGAACGAGUGUGAGAGUGGAAAGUUCACACUGUGACGGUAUCUUACCAGAAAGGGACGGCUAACUACGUG